AAAUCACAGCCUCAAAGGGUAUUUUCGCCAUAUACACACGCAUCUCUCUCUUCAUCUUGUGGUUACACCCAAAGCACUAAGAUUUUAUAAUUUCGUGCGUAUGCAAAACCGUUUAGGUGUGUUAGUGUUACUAGUUUUAGAAAGCAGUUGAUGGCCGCCGCGCGCUCUCCGGUGAAGCCUCACGUGAUCGGCUCCGCCGUGUUUGAACUUUCUAGAACCGCCUCCCAUAUCGGAGCCCCGUUUUCCGUCCGGGUCUCUUCUCGGAGCCACUGCAUUUCCAGCUCAGUUGCCACUUACGUUAACCGUCAGCCUUCGGAAGGACCCUCCUGCAUAUUUGUGGGACCCAUUGAGUCCGCCAGCCAAGAAACUCUCGAAGCGCUCUAUCGUCAGGCGCGGGAUGCAUAUUAUAGUGGGAAGCCUUUGAUAGUGGAUGAUAUGUUUGACAGAGUCGAGUUAAGAUUGCGGUGGUAUGGCUCAAAGUAUGUGAUGAAGUACCCACGAUGCAGUCUCAGGCGGCAAUCUGCGUAUGCUGAUGCUGAGGAAGAUCCUUCACAGGUUUUUGCUUUAGCAAGCAAAUGGUUCUUGAUUCUUGGUUUUGGCUCUUCAGCAUGUCUUUUUCCUGUACUCUACACCAUUUGUCGAGCUUUUCAAGAUGCAAUUGAUUCUGGAGUUGUUUAUGAUGGUCAAGCUUCUGUGCUAGAGUUUCUUACCACGCUUAACGGCACUCUCUUAAUAAUAUUUGGAUUCAUUAUAGGCUACCCAAUUGCAUCAGCUUCUGUUGGAGCACUUCAAAGGCUUUGGAGUAGUAAACUGGUGGCAUUGAAAGGAGCAUGCCCUAACUGCGGCGAAGAGGUUAGUAAUGGAAAUUAGCCACCAUAUUUCAAACCUUAUUUGAAUUGUUGGUGUUUGCAUUUGUUGGGUCAGAUCAGUCCAAUAGUUCCCCUCAUAGAGCGGAGUGUCAUGUAUGUGAGAGCUCCUUAGAAUUUCGCACCAAGAUUGAGAAAUCCAUCUCGAGACCAAGUAAUAGAUGGGCAUAUGGCCGCAUCUACUUAAUUGAACAGAGGGGUCGAUGUCAAAGAUGGGCAUAGGAUGGAUCUUGUGUUGAUUUCUUUUGUUCUAGAGCUUUUUGUAUAGAAGAAUUUUUAUUUUUAUUUUUAUUUUUUCCUCCAGCCUUUGGGUUGGCAAGCUGUAGCAAUUCUAGUGCAAGUUCGUGUGACUGAUGCAUCUCUUAUAUUUUUAAAAUAGAACAAUAUUUUACAAUUCUAGUAGAGAAAAUUGCUCUUAUUUGGUUAGAAAAUAUGGAGGCCAAUAUGUUUACAAUGGAGUUCAAUGCAUAUUCUGUAUCAAUUGUUAUAUAAUUCUAGUGCAACUGCCAAUGCAAUUUGUUAAACUAUGCACUAUUGGCAUAA